CGGCACUGCCAAGGCCCCCCCAGUCUUGUCUUGUGGCUCGGGGGGGUUUAAUUCAGUGCCAGAAUAAUCCCCUCCUUGCAGAAAGGCCGGCCUCUUCUGUGGGCUGAUCUUUCCGAAAGUUGGGAACAAAU